CGAAAGGGAAACAGCCCAGACCACCAGCUAAGGUCCCAAAAUAUAUGUUAAGUGGAAAAGGAUGUGGCGUUGCCCAGACAACUAGGAUGUUGGCUUAGAAGCAGCCAUCAUUUAAAGAGUGCGUAAUAGCUCACUAGUCGAGUGACACUGCGCCGAAAAUGUACCGGGGCUAAACAUAUUACCGAAGCUGUGGAUUGUCCUUUGGACAAUGGUAGGAGAGCGUUCUAAGGGCGUUGAAGCAUGAUCGUAAGGACAUGUGGAGCGCUUAGAAGUGAGAAUGCCGGUGUGAGUAGCGAAAGACGGGUGAGAAUCCCGUCCACCGAUUGACUAAGGUUUCCAGAGGAAGGCUCGUCCGCUCUGGGUUAGUCGGGUCCUAAGCUGAGGCCGACAGGCGUAGGCGAUGGAUAACAGGUUGAUAUUCCUGUACCACCUAUAAUCGUUUUAAUCGAUGGGGGGACGCAGUAGGAUAGGCGAAGCGUGCGAUUGGAUUGCACGUCUAAGCAGUAAGGCUGAGUAUUAGGCAAAUCCGGUACUCGUUAAGGCUGAGCUGUGAUGGGGAGAAGACAUUGUGUCUUCGAGUCGUUGAUUUCACACUGCCGAGAAAAGCCUCUAGAUAGAAAAUAGGUGCCCGUACCGCAAACCGACACAGGUAGUCAAGAUGAGAAUUCUAAGGUGAGCGAGCGAACUCUCGUUAAGGAACUCGGCAAAAUGACCCCGUAACUUCGGGAGAAGGGGUGCUCUUUAGGGUUAACGCCCAGAAGAGCCGCAGUGAAUAGGCCCAAGCGACUGUUUAUCAAAAACACAGGUCUCUGCUAAACCGUAAGGUGAUGUAUAGGGGCUGACGCCUGCCCGGUGCUGGAAGGUUAAGAGGAGUGGUUAGCUUCUGCGAAGCUACGAAUCGAAGCCCCAGUAAACGGCGGCCGUAACUAUAACGGUCCUAAGGUAGCGAAAUUCCUUG
rnacentral:rRNA from 1 species